GACGGGGCCCGCACAAGCGGUGGAGCAUGUGGUUUAAUUCGACGCAACGCGAAGAACCUUACCUAGGUUUGACAUCCCGGGGAGUCUCUUGAAAGGGAGAUGUGCCCUUCGGGGAGCCCGGAGACAGGUGCUGCAUGGCUGUCGUCAGCUCGUGUCGUGAGAUGUUGGGUUAAGUCCCGCAACGAGCGCAACCCUUAUCUUUAGUUACCAGCACUUCGGGUGGGGACUCUAGAGAUACUGCCCCGGUCAACGGGAGGAAGGUGGGGAUGACGUCAAGUCCUCAUGGCCCUUAUAGGUAGGGCUACACACGUCAUACAAUGGAUGGUACAAAGGGUCGCCAACCCGCGAGGGGGAGCCAAUCCGAAAAAGCCGGUCUCAGUUCGGAUUGCAGGCUGCAAUUCGCCUGCAUGAAGUCGGAAUCGCUAGUAAUCGCAGGUCAGCAUACUGCGGUGAAUACGUUCCCGGGCCUU
rnacentral:rRNA from 1 species